CGCCGUCCUGACGUGCCCAAAUGUGCACCACUUAACUACUAUAUAUGUAUCGGCAGUCCCAUAAGAUAAAAGGGUAAGUCUCCCCAAUAGUCACAUGUAGACCCGGGGUCAAAACCCCUACCCAACAACUCACGAGUCAAAGUCCGGACCACAUUCCCGUCAUGACACCUCGGGACGUAUCCCAACGUUCACACAAGGCCCAUCGCAUAUCGGCAACGUUUAAAUUUCACCUCGCCCAGAGCCUUCGUGAGC
rnacentral:lncRNA from 1 species